rnacentral:rRNA from 1 species
AUUGAACGCUGGCGGCAGGCCUAACACAUGCAAGUCGAGCGGAUGAGAAGAGCUUGCUCUUCGAUUCAGCGGCGGACGGGUGAGUAAUGCCUAGGAAUCUGCCUGGUAGUGGGGGACAACGUUUCGAAAGGAGCGCUAAUACCGCAUACGUCCUACGGGAGAAAGCAGGGGACCUUCGGGCCUUGCGCUAUCAGAUGAGCCUAGGUCGGAUUAGCUAGUUGGUGUGGUAAUGGCUCACCAAGGCGACGAUCCGUAACUGGUCUGAGAGGAUGAUCAGUCACACUGGAACUGAGACACGGUCCAGACUCCUACGGGAGGCAGCAGUGGGGAAUAUUGGACAAUGGGCGAAAGCCUGAUCCAGCCAUGCCGCGUGUGUGAAGAAGGUCUUCGGAUUGUAAAGCACUUUAAGUUGGGAGGAAGGGCAGUAAGUUAAUACCUUGCUGUUUUGACGUUACCGACAGAAUAAGCACCGGCUAACUCUGUGCCAGCAGCCGCCGUAAAAC